CAUUAUCUGAUGUGUUUUGCAAAGUUUGUCCAUUACCAGAGACACUAGCAAGAAUUAGUUUUGCAAAGUUUGAGGUAUCCCAUGCCAGAGUUGUUAUGGAUUAGUUUUGUAAAGUUUGAGAUACUAGUUUGGUUGUGGUUGGUAGUCCCAGCAUCCCAGGGGGUAGAAUUAGCAACAGAUCUACAGCAGUUGGUCUUCCAUUUACUUUUUUUUCAUUUCAGGCGCGCACUUGUUAUCAACAUUAUAACACUUGGCUAAAAGACUAACUUUAAGCUUCCUGAUGACACAUUUAAAACCAAAAAAACUAUAAUAUUUGAAAUCCUGAACAAAAAUUAUUAAACUAUUACUAUUACAUUUUGUCUAAACCAAAAACAUUACUGAAGCCAAAACAUUACUGAGAGGCACAAGUUAAAACCAAAAAAAAACAUCUAUCUUUACUAUUACAUUCUUUUGGAGUUCCUGAACAAAAAUUCUUCCAUUAAGCUUUGAAAUCGACGAUAGCUUUGUCAAAUUUCAAAAGCUUCACCUCUGACCAAAAACCAAUUUGGGAUUUUGAGCUGAAUUUCACUGCAAAUAACAUGAACAGUAAUCAGUGCAAGUAACUUUGGAGCCUAAAAGUUAAAUGAUUACUGCAGCAUCAACAUCAUUUGUUAAAGGAUUUGGAUAUACCAAAAUGAGCCACAUUUGGAACUAAGUCAAUAAGGUAUAGAUGUUAGCAUUCACUUACAAUAACAACAGCCUCAAUCAUGGUAGAUUAAUGAGUAAUACACCCAGAUAAAUGCAAAAAUCAAUACCCGUAUAAUCCAUAUCAAAAAUCAACAGAAAUGAUGGUUGAUUUAUAUGCAAUUCAAUACCAUGAUUCAGAAUCCUAGAAAAAAGUGAAACACAAUCAGCCCAAUUUGACUAGUUAUGCUACUAUCAACAAAAUUAGUUCCUAUUCCUGAAUCAAGCUGCUAGCAUGUGAUGCAGAUGGUUUGUUCUACAUGUAUGAUGGAAAGCACUUAUUGGUUUAAAUGACAGUAAAUCACUUUGUCCCCAAGUCUGUGUCAAUGUUUCCAUGUUAGAGUGUAAGAUACUAAAAGAGCGGUAAUUGCCUUUAGAGUUGAGAGUGACAAAGCAGUUAGGAAAGACCAAGAAGGAAGGUGCAUCAAGCCAAUUUUACCAUUUCAGAUUCAUUUUACUCACAAUCCGAAUUCGACGAGAAAACUAGUGCACAUAACUUUGAGUAGGAACCAAAAAGAUCGACGUAGCAUCAAUUCUUAAUUUCUAGACAAGAAAACUAGUGCACAAAACUUUGAGUAGGAACCAAAAAGAUCGGCCUAGCAUCAAUUCUUAAUUUCCAUACGCAGUCCCAGUGGGAGACACUAUAUACAUUGAAUUACCAAGAAUGCAAUACAAACUCAAUUCAAACGUACUCUCUGUUUGACCAUAUACCCAAGAAAAAAGAAGCUUAUCUCAAAAUUCUAGUCCAAAUUCUAUCAUCCAAUGGCAAUCACUUCAAGAAAUUCCAAGACAAACAUUUCUUCACCACACCUUAGCGACAAGUCCUAUUUCCUUGGAUGAUGAAGAUUUGCUGCAUAUAAAAUUAAUAAAAUCGGCCCUCUUCAUAAUCAUACCAUAUUAAUAUUAUAACGAUCUAUAGUCAAGAUCAGAUGAUAAAUCAACCAUCAUUUAACUGCACGCCUAAGUACCUAACAAUAAUGGAAAAUUUGAAUUGCAUAUAAAUCAAAAAUCAACAGACCCAUAUCAAAAAUCAACAGAAAUCAAUAAGCAAGAAUUGACCAAUCAAUACCCGUAUAAUCCAAAUACUCAAAAACAGUUCUCAGUUCUCAGAAUUGACCCAUCAACCACAGCGAAACAUCACAGAAAAAUUAGAAGGAAAAAGACACAUACCAAAUACAGCCUAAAUCGCGAAUCUUAGAGAAGCUUCAGUUGAGAAGAGAGAUUCUUAGACAAGCUAGGGCACAACGAACUAUUAUGCGAUUCUCAGGGCUUGCAGAUUGCGUGAGAGGAGAGAAUCGCGACCCAUUUGGAGAGAAUCACUGAGAAUCGCGACCCAUUUGAAGAUUAGUGAGAAACUAGGGCUUGCAGAUUCGCGAGAGAGGGUAGGAGAGAAUGGCAAAGUUCAGAUUUGGGUUUUUUCAAAAAGACGCGGAAGGUUGGCUAAGUGUUGGCUUUUAAAUAGUUAUGUCACUUAAGAAAUUAUGGGAUGCUGCUACUGCAAUGGGGCUUCAUUUGUCUUUCCUUAUU
rnacentral:lncRNA from 1 species